rnacentral:lncRNA from 1 species
CCCUUUGACACCGUGGGAGCUUUGUUCUUUUGCUCUUUGGGUCCACGCUGCUUUUAUUAGCUGUAACGCUUAGUGCGAAGAUCUGCAGCUUCACUCCUGAAGCCAGCGAGCCCACGACCCCACCGGGAGGAAUGAAUGACUCCAGAUGUGCUGCUUUAAGAGCUGUAACACUCACCGUGAAGGUCUGCAGCUUCACUCCUGGAGCCAGCGAGCCCAUGAGCCCACGGGGAGGAACGAACGACUCCAGACGCGGUGCCUUAAGGGCUGUAACACUCACCGCGAAGGUCUGCAGCUUCACUCCUGAGCCAGCGAGACCACGAACCCACCAGAAGGAAGAAACUCUGAACACGUCGGAACAUCAGAAAGAACAAACUCCAGAUGCGCCACCUGAAGAGCUGUAAGACUCACCGCGAGGGUCCGCGGCUUCAUUCUUGAAGUCAGUGAGACCAAGAACCCACCAGUUCUGGACACAUUAUCACCUCCUCACCCCAGAGCUGCAUACCUGGCUUAGGAGGGACUGUCGAAAUGAAUUUAUCCAGGCCCUCAUUUUACAGAGAAGGGAACUGCCGCCAGAGCGAAGUGACUUGCGCAAGAUCACAUGGCCCAGCCCAGCUUCUUCGCUCCUGAAGCCACCUCAUUUCCUCUUCUCAGCAUUGUGGUUGGGUCCAAGAUGAAGCAGGAGGAUGGAUUCCUAGAUCACUUCUUCCAGUUAUAAGUGGUGUUUGCCUGCUGGUGGGUUGAUGGAUGUCAACAGCUACAUUUCCCAGCGAUGAGGCCUUAACUCAGGCAAUGAAUCUCACCCAGCACUGAGACCAUCAUGGCCGGGUUGGGCUACUAGGAGAGCAGGCAUGAAUCACUGCCAGAGAUCCCGACUCCGGAACUCUGCACUCAGCCCUGAGGCCAUGCCACCUUUUCUCCAUCUCCCCAGGGAGAUCAGGCCGUGGUCUGGGGAUGGACCCCUGGGUGCCUGGAGUAAGGGGGUUCAUUUAGGCCUGCCUUCUACAAACAUCAAUUGAGUACCUGCUCUGUACCGGGCACCAGAAAUGGACUUCAGCUGAUCUUCAUAUUCAUAUGGAGUUUCCAGUGACCCCAAAUAGCCAAAACAGUCUUGGAAAGAAAAACAAAGUUGGAGGACCCACACUUCCUGAUUUUGAAACUUGCUACAAAGCUAUAGUACUCAACAAAGAUUGGUAAUGGCAUAAGGAUAUAGAUUAAGAACAGUUUUUUCAACAAAUAGUGUUGGGACAAUGGGUGUCCACAUGCAAAAGAAUAAAGUUGUCCCCUUACCUUACACCAUCUCCAAAAAUUAACUCAAAAUAUGUCAAAGACAUAAACGUAAGAGCUAAAACUGUAAAACUCCUAGAAUAAAACAUAGGAGUAAAUCUUCAUGACCUUGGAUUAGGCCAUUGUGUCUUAAAUAUAACACCAAAAGAAUAAGUAAUAAAAAAAUAGAUAAAUUGAACUCCAUCAAAAUUAAAAGCCUUUGUGCUUCAUAGGACACCAUCAAGAAAGUAAAAAAAAAAAAAAAAACCCAUAGGAUGGGAGAAAAUAUCUCCAAAUCAUAUAUCUGAUAAAAGAAUUGUAUCCAGGAUUGAUAAAGAAUUCCUACAACUCAAUAAUAAAAAGACAAAAAACCCCAAAUUGGGCAAAGGACAUGAAUAGAGAUUUUUCCUAAGAAGAUACACAAAUAACAAAUAAGCACAUGAAGAAAUGCUAACAUCAUUGUAUUAGUCCGUUUUCACACUGCUGAUGAAGACAUACCCGAGACUGGUAAUUUAUAAAGAAAAGAGGUUUAAUUGACUCACAGUUCCACAUGGCUGGGGAGGCCUCACAAUCAUGGCAGAAGACAAGGAGGAGCAAGUCACAUCCUACAUCGUGGCAGGGGGGAGAGAGCUUGUGCAGGGAAACUCCUCUUUAUAAAAUUUUAUGGGGUCUCAUGAGACUUAUUCACAAUCAUGAGAACAGCACGGGAGAGACUGAUUCAAUUACCAUGAUUCAAUUACCUCCCACUGGGUCCCUCCCACAACAUGUGGGAAUUGUGGGAGCUACAAUUCAAGAUGAGAAUUGGUGGGGGUUGGGGGUGACACAGCCAAACCACAACAAUCAUUAAUCAUUAGGGAAAUGAAGAACAAACUACCAUGAGAUACUACUUCUCGCUCACUAGGAUUGUUAGGGAAACAGAAGCAUAGGAGAGCCAUGGUGACAUCAUUUUAAAAUCAACUCCAUCUUAAAACUAUCAAGGCACGUUCCUUGCCAGUCAUGACUCAUGGUCCUAAGAUGUUUACAGUUGAGGAAACACCUUAAAAAUACCUGCAAGAACACACUCCUACAAUAACAAAAAGUCCAGAUGUCCCACUAUCCUUAACAAGAUAUGCUUUUAAGAUGACUAUAGUCAUGCUUUGAUGUACUUAUGUACUAAAAUGCCAAAGAUACUUUCUUUAAAUCAACAGAAUACUAAAUUUUAUGCUGUCAGCCCACCCACGCAGACAUAAUUUAUCUUAGCUUUUACAUAGAUGAGACUCCUAUAUGAGAAAAGUUUAAGACAGAGAUGGCGUGUUCCUCCUCUUGCUUUCUGAGGAUGCCCUAUUCUGUGACUGAGUAGCUUUCAAUAAACUAUCCUCUCUCUGCACUUUGUAACUUACCUUGAAUCCCUUCCUGUGCGAGAUCCAACAAUCCUCUCUUGGAGUCUGGAUUGGGACUCUUUUUCUGGCAACAGCAGAGCUAUAAUUAAAAAAAAGAUGGACAUUAACAAGUGUCGGAGAGGAUGUGGAGAAGUUAGAACCCUCAUACGUUACUGGUGAGAACAUAAAAUGAUGCAGCUGCUGUGGAAAACAGCUUAACAAUUUCUCAAAAAGCUAAAAUAGAGUUACCGUAUGACCCAGCAAUCCUGCUUCUAAGUAUAUACCCGAGAGAAUUAAAAACAUAUGUCCACACAAAAACUUGUACACAAAUGUUCACGGUAGCAUUAUUUGUAGUUGCCAAAACGAAAAACAACCCAAAUGUCCAUUAACUGCUGAAUGGAUAAACAAAAUGUGAUCUAUCCACACAAUGGAACAUUAUGCAGUCAUGAAAAAGGAAUAAAGUUCUAAUACAUGCUGUAACACGGGUGAACCUUGAAGAAAUAGUGUUGAAUGUAAGGAGCAAGUCAUAACAUAUGAUUGUAUGAUUCCAUUUAUAUGAAAUGUCCAGAGAGGCAAAUCCACCCAGCCAGGUGGGAGAUUAAUGGUUGACUGGGGUUGGGGGUGAGAGGGCCUGGGAAGGGACUGGUAAUGGGUAUGGGAUUUCUUUCCAGGGGUAUGAAAAUGCUCCGGAAGUGGGCAGUCAUGGUGAUUAAUGCACAUCUCUGUGAAUAUACUAAACCCCACAGAACUGUACAUUUUAAAGAGUGAAUUUUAGCCAGGCCUGGUAGCUCAUGCCUGUAAUCCCAGCACUUUGGGAGGCCGAGGCAGGUGGAUUGCUAGAGUCCAGGAGUUCGAGAUCAGCCUGACCAACAUGGCAAAACCCCGUCUCUCUUAAAAUCACAAAAAUUAGCUGGGUGUGGUGGCACGUGCCUGUAAUGCCAGCUACAUCAGGAGGCUGAGGCACAGAAUUGCUUGAACACAGGAGGCGGAGGUUUCAGGGAGCCAAGAUCGUGCCACUGCACUUCAGCCUGGGUGACAGAGUGAAAAAAAGAGAGUGAACUUUGUGGCAUGUGAAUGAGAUCCCAGUAGUUAUUAUUAAAAAAAAAAUUAUGAGCAAACAGAGGCUCUGCAUAGAGUAGCAGCUUCCCCAAAGAGGGCAGCAAAUCAGGGGCACUUUCCUAGGCCUGGCAAAGUGGGAUGUAGCAUGAGGAUUAAGAACCCAGGCUUUGAACCUGAAGGUUGUGGGUCUGAAUCCUGCUUCCACGUCUCAUGAGCUGUGGAAUGUUGGAAAAUGGACUCAAUCUCUCUGAACCUCUCAAUUGUAAAAUGAGAAUAACUCCUACUUUGUGAAGUUCUUAUGAGGGUUAACUUCUCGGUAGCGUCUUGAUAAAUUAUAGGUAGUUUUAUCAUUUUUUUCUCUGGAAAAAAGAAGGAAAGAAGUCUCUGGAAGACAACUUUGACCUUGGACUGAAGGUGGAAAGAAUAGGCCCAGUUUAAAUAAAUACAAAUAGAUUUCAGGUUCUAGCUUGGGCUAGAGGGAUAUGGAAGACCCUCUCCAGGCAUGGUGGGUGGUCAGCAGGAGUUCAGGGAGGGUGACUGGAGGCAGAAAAAGUACAGACACUCAUUCUCCCACUAGGCUGCCAGGUCUGUGGGUUAGAACUGGAUGCUCUGGUAUUCAAGUUUUCUGCCAGGAGAAAAAUGAGAUAAGUUAUUACCAUCACGUUUUGUUAUCGCAACUUUUCCCCUCACUCUCAGAAAGGAGCUGGGAGCUCCUCUGCAGUCUCACAUCAGAUAGUAAGUGUGAGCCCAGAUCAGCCCAGGCUGUCCUCGGCUGAGCUGGUGAAUCUGCGUUCAAAUGAACAACAGCAGCUGGCCUGCUAGGCCCGGCAUCUCAGUGGGGCUGGCUGUUUUCUUCUCAUCAAUAUUUGAUUCUUGUGGAAUAACAGAUGAUGUUUAUUUCAUUCUUUGUGCCUCUGCUUAGUUUUCACAUUGUCUAAAGGGACGAGGUAUCUAAUUAAAGUGCUGUUAGGAAAACCGUAA